UCCAGGACCUAGAACAGUGCACGACCUAUCAUUGGUGUCGAAGAAAUAGGGUAUGAAUCCAGUCAUGCCUAUUUCCAUCCAUCUGACAAGUGUGUCUUCCCCAGCUCCUGUCCCUGUCUCCUGAUUUUUCCUCUUUCCCUCCCUAUCAGGUGUCACACACAAAUACAAGCCACUCUGAUGGCACCUUCCGGAUAAUAGUGGAGAAGAAUGCAUUGGCCACGUCUGUGGCUGCAUCCCGUGGGCUGGGACACGUUAAUCAGCUCUGGCAAAGCUACUCCGACUGGAAGUCACAAAGGGGGUUGCUGCUUGGUUGUCCUGUCCUGUAGAGUAUGUCGGGAUUGUUUCCAGGCCAGAUUGGUGAAUGAAAUAGAUGUGUGUUGGGUUCAUACCCUGCACCCCCCUCAGUCUUCAGCCUCUGGUGUUCCUUCCAGAUGAUGAGACUCAGGGACCGCCGUUCAACUCCAUUAUCCUUGUAAUUACCACUUUCCAAAGUUCUCCAGCAUCUGAGAUGUUGUACUUACAGUGCGUUCCUCCCCUUCCACGUUGUCUGUCCCAGUGCGCCAGUGGUCAAAGUUUUAACACUGCGCCAUGACAUCCUGCCAAGGGCUUUCAGUACCCCACCUGCCACCAGUGUGGUAGAUGGAUGCUGUGCACUCCAGGGCUGAGUUCUCCCAUCUGAAUUGCUACUUGUAGACAAUCUGAUGGACUGGGCACCUUGGGAGCGUAAGGAAGAUGCCAAGGGUAAUUCUUCAGCCUUUGUUCUGAUGAAGAGCACAGGGCGCGGGUGUAUUCCCACUGCAUUGAUUUGAAAAUACUUGUGUGUGUUUACAGAGGAGGGGACUUGCCAGUUGCAAUGGUGGUGGGCCUCAUGGGCGCAGGGUUGCCUGGCGGGGACCUAGGGACCAGCAGGGGAUUUCCAUCACCCAGAAGAGAGAGGUAACUUAGGCCAAGAGUGAACUUGUUUUAAAUGACAGGAGUGGCUAAAGACUCAGGUAAAUGAAGAGAAAGACAAGAUUUGAAGAAUCUGGUAAAUAAAUAGUUAGCCUUUGUGUGUCCUAGGAA